GACCACCAUGAUAAUUUGUAAGCAACUCACUAUACUUUAGUACUAGACUAUCUAAAUUUCUAACUUAGUGACAGAAAGAUACUAGGUGCAGUCAAAUACUUAUCAAGUCGGUGUGUGAGUCAAGAUGGAAUUGAUCCCUUUGAAUUAGUAGGAGAUAUGCAUCAGUGUAUUUCAAUUUAGCAAAACCUUGGUCAGAGUAAUCCAUAAGAUGGAUUUGAAAGGUUGAAAUAUAAUGUGGUUGACUUAAUUAAGGUUGAUAGUUAAACCCUAAGUCACCUUGAGCAUUUGGGUCAAAGAGAUGAAUUAUAUGAUAACCAUACGCCAGUAGGUUCUAGAAGGUUACUUUGCAACACUUUGAUCCAUCCGGUCAUCAGUCAUCAUUGCUAGAUCGUUACACCGAUUGGUAUAGAAAGUUGUUCCUAUACUACUGG
rnacentral:lncRNA from 1 species